rnacentral:pre_miRNA from 1 species
CCAACAACUAGGUGAAACUACCAUAUGAUCUAAUUUUUCCCUAUUAAAAGAUGAAAAUUAAGAUCAUGCUGGCAGCUUCAACUAGUAGUG